GACGAACGCUGGCGGCGUGCUUAGCACAUGCAAGUCGAACGAUGAAGAAGAGAAACGCGAACUUCGGUUCAAAUUUCACUUCGGAUUAGUGGCAGACGGGUGAGUAACGCGUGAGCAACCUACCUCUUACAAAGGGAUAGCCUCGGGAAACCGUGAUUAAUACCAUAUGACACAUUCAUAAGGCAUCUUAAGAAUGUUAAAGCUACGGCGGUAAGAGAUGGGCUCGCGUCCCAUUAGCUAGUUGGUGAGGUAACGGCCCACCAAGGCGACGAUGGGUAACCGGCCUGAGAGGGUGAACGGUCACAUUGGAACUGAGACACGGUCCAAACUCCUACGGGAGGCAGCAGUGGGGAAUAUUGCACAAUGGAGGGAACUCUGAUGCAGCGACGCCGCGUGAGCGAUGAAGGAAUUCGUUUCGUAAAGCUCUGUUCUAUGGGAAGAAAAGGACUGUACCAUAGGAGAAAGCCCCGGCUAAAUACGUG
rnacentral:rRNA from 1 species